rnacentral:sRNA from 1 species
AUAGGGUCCUCCUACCGAUUGAAUGGUCCGGUGAAGUUUUCGGAUCUCGGCAACGUGGGCGGUUUGCUGUCUGCGACGUCACGAGAAGUCCAUUGAACCUUAUCAUUUAGAGGAAGGAGAAGUCGUAACAAGGUUUCCGUAGGUGAACCUGCGGAAG